rnacentral:tRNA from 1 species
GGUUACGACUCAGUGGUAGAGUACUCGUCUAACAUGUGUGAGGUGCUGGGUUCAAUCCUCAGCACCA